AUUUUCAUUUAUAAGGAUCAAUGAGAUUAGAACAAUCGGCUAAACUAAUCUGUAUGUGUCAUAAAAAUAUCUAUAUGUUAAGCGGUUGGCAGAUUAAAAUUCCAUAAAGGUACUUGUACUUUUUUAGACGUCCCAUGCGCAUCGAUAGAUUUUGCUGAUGUUACGCGUAAAGUACUUCAAUAAGUUAGAAUCAAAUGUCAAGCCACGCCCUGUUUUGAAUGUCUUACAAAUAAUUCAUUACAUUUCCAGUUCUGCAUGUCGAAGGUACGUUUAGUCUUAAUUUUCUUAGCGACGAAGCCAGAACGAAGAAGGUCUUUCACCUUUUACUCGCUAGUGAAGCUUAGGCGACGUUAUCCGAGAACGGAGCUGAACGAGUAAAGAGUUGAAAGACGACGCUGGUACAUGGAGAACACGGAAGAUCCAAUUUCCCGGACUGGCGAACGAGAGUGGGAAAUAGAAAGGACGCGAUUCAUUGUACUUCGUUUUUGAAACAGUGAACUUCAAAUCAAGGUAAUAUAUACAUAUAUGUGUAAUAAUACACGUACUUAAAUACGAAUGAUUAUAAUUACAGUGAUGCGGCAAAAAGAAAUAGCUACAGACACGUACAUAUCUUUUAUAUAGAUAUACGAUAAAUAUUUAUUUCCAUCUGAGUGAAAGUUGACGUUAAUUGAUUUAUGAUAAUGUGGAUCCUUCGAUGAUUCGAUCGUAUUUAGUUAAGUUUAUUCUAAUGUGGACUAACUAGAUCACCUUAUAUAGUUAACGAAAUCUGUAUUAAUAAUAUUUCAAACUAUA